rnacentral:rRNA from 1 species
UACGAAGGGGGCUAGCGUUGCUCGGAAUCACUGGGCGUAAAGGGUGCGUAGGCGGGUCUUUAAGUCAGGGGUGAAAUCCUGGAGCUCAACUCCAGAACUGCCUUUGAUACUGAAGAUCUUGAGUUCGGGAGAGGUGAGUGGAACUGCGAGUGUAGAGGUGAAAUUCGUAGAUAUUCGCAAGAACACCAGUGGCGAAGGCGGCUCACUGGGCACCACCUGACGCUGAGGCGCGAAAGCGUGGGGAGCGAACCGG